rnacentral:lncRNA from 12 species
CCCAGAGCUCCCAGGGUGGGCUCAGCCCCCCAGUGCUGGUGCUGAGGGUGCCCAGAGGGUGCCCAGGUCCCUGGGGGGGUUCAGGGGUCCCUCCCUGCUCUGGGGUGAUGGGGAGGGGUCUGGAGGAGGGGGAGGUCCUGGCAGGGGGGUGGGAGAAGCUGCAGGAGCAGAGGGAACCAAACUGACCCCAAACAAGGGAGUCAAACCAAACAUGGGGGGUCCUGGUGCUGCUGCUGUGCCAGUGCACCCUGGCACAUCCUGGGAAAAUCUUGGUGCAUCCUGGCACAUCCUGGCACUUUCUGGCACAUCCCAGCACAUCCCAGCACAUCCCAGCACAUCCUGGCACAUCCCAGCACAUCCUGGCACAUCCCAGAAUAUCCCAGCACAGCCUGGCACAGCCUGGCUCCCCUGGACCCCUCCCAGUGCCAGUGACAGAGUCAGGGGCUGGCAGAGCCCCGUGGGCACUCCGGGCUCCCUGGGUGCACCGCAGGCUGAGCAGGCUCCCAGAAUUCGGUUAAUUAAGAAGAAUUAAUUAACAAAGUCCCCAUCCUUCAGCACAGAGUGACCAGCCCCAGCUCUGAGCUGCUCUUUGCCCCAGCCCCAGCCCCUCAUCCCCAGUGAUUAAUAAAUCAAACCCUAUCAACGCCCCGAAUUAGCAGCCGAAUGUAUCUGCUCACCCAAAGCGACGGCGAGAACAAUCACUUAUUAAUAAAGCAAUAGCUAAAUCUAAUUACAUCCCCAUCGGAUCCUGCAAGUAAUAAAAGCCCAGUUGCCUGGCAGAGCUGAGGGACCUGCUGACCCCAAAUCAGAGUUUACAGCAUCCAUCAG